GGGUUGUGAGGUUAAGCGACUAAGCGUACACGGUGGAUGCCCUGGCAGUCAGAGGCGAUGAAGGACGUGCUAAUCUGCGAUAAGCGUCGGUAAGGUGAUAUGAACCGUUAUAACCGGCGAUUUCCGAAUGGGGAAACCCAGUGUGAUUCGUCACACUAUCAUUAACUGAAUCCAUAGGUUAAUGAGGCGAACCGGGGGAACUGAAACAUCUAAGUACCCCGAGGAAAAGAAAUCAACCGAGAUUCCCCCAGUAGCGGCGAGCGAACGGGGAGCAGCCCAGAGCCUGAAUCAGUGUGUGUGUUAGUGGAAGCGUCUGGAAAGGCGCGCGAUACAGGGUGACAGCCCCGUACACAAAAAUGCACAUGCUGUGAGCUCGAUGAGUAGGGCGGGACACGUGGUAUCCUGUCUGAAUAUGGGGGGACCAUCCUCCAAGGCUAAAUACUCCUGACUGACCGAUAGUGAACCAGUACCGUGAGGGAAAGGCGAAAAGAACCCCGGCGAGGGGAGUGAAAAAGAACCUGAAACCGUGUACGUACAAGCAGUGGGAGCCUCUUUAUGGGGUGACUGCGUACCUUUUGUAUAAUGGGUCAGCGACUUAUAUUCUGUAGCAAGGUUAACCGAAUAGGGGAGCCGAAGGGAAACCGAGUCUUAACUGGGCGUUAAGUUGCAGGGUAUAGACCCGAAACCCGGUGAUCUAGCCAUGGGCAGGUUGAAGGUUGGGUAACACUAACUGGAGGACCGAACCGACUAAUGUUGAAAAAUUAGCGGAUGACUUGUGGCUGGGGGUGAAAGGCCAAUCAAACCGGGAGAUAGCUGGUUCUCCCCGAAAGCUAUUUAGGUAGCGCCUCGUGAAUUCAUCUCCGGGGGUAGAGCACUGUUUCGGCAAGGGGGUCAUCCCGACUUACCAACCCGAUGCAAACUGCGAAUACCGGAGAAUGUUAUCACGGGAGACACACGGCGGGUGCUAACGUCCGUCGUGAAGAGGGAAACAACCCAGACCGCCAGCUAAGGUCCCAAAGUCAUGGUUAAGUGGGAAACGAUGUGGGAAGGCCCAGACAGCCAGGAUGUUGGCUUAGAAGCAGCCAUCAUUUAAAGAAAGCGUAAUAGCUCACUGGUCGAGUCGGCCUGCGCGGAAGAUGUAACGGGGCUAAACCAUGCACCGAAGCUGCGGCAGCGACACUUAUGUGUUGUUGGGUAGGGGAGCGUUCUGUAAGCCUGCGAAGGUGUGCUGUGAGGCAUGCUGGAGGUAUCAGAAGUGCGAAUGCUGACAUAAGUAACGAUAAAGCGGGUGAAAAGCCCGCUCGCCGGAAGACCAAGGGUUCCUGUCCAACGUUAAUCGGGGCAGGGUGAGUCGACCCCUAAGGCGAGGCCGAAAGGCGUAGUCGAUGGGAAACAGGUUAAUAUUCCUGUACUUGGUGUUACUGCGAAGGGGGGACGGAGAAGGCUAUGUUGGCCGGGCGACGGUUGUCCCGGUUUAAGCGUGUAGGCUGGUUUUCCAGGCAAAUCCGGAAAAUCAAGGCUGAGGCGUGAUGACGAGGCACUACGGUGCUGAAGCAACAAAUGCCCUGCUUCCAGGAAAAGCCUCUAAGCAUCAGGUAACAUCAAAUCGUACCCCAAACCGACACAGGUGGUCAGGUAGAGAAUACCAAGGCGCUUGAGAGAACUCGGGUGAAGGAACUAGGCAAAAUGGUGCCGUAACUUCGGGAGAAGGCACGCUGAUAUGUAGGUGAAGUCCCUUGCGGAUGGAGCUGAAAUCAGUCGAAGAUACCAGCUGGCUGCAACUGUUUAUUAAAAACACAGCACUGUGCAAACACGAAAGUGGACGUAUACGGUGUGACGCCUGCCCGGUGCCGGAAGGUUAAUUGAUGGGGUUAGCGGUAACGCGAAGCUCUUGAUCGAAGCCCCGGUAAACGGCGGCCGUAACUAUAACGGUCCUAAGGNGCUUCCAGGAAAAGCCUCUAAGCAUCAGGUAACAUCAAAUCGUACCCCAAACCGACACAGGUGGUCAGGUAGAGAAUACCAAGGCGCUUGAGAGAACUCGGGUGAAGGAACUAGGCAAAAUGGUGCCGUAACUUCGGGAGAAGGCACGCUGAUACGUAGGUGAAGUCCCUUGCGGAUGGAGCUGAAAUCAGUCGAAGAUACCAGCUGGCUGCAACUGUUUAUUAAAAACACAGCACUGUGCAAACACGAAAGUGGACGUAUACGGUGUGACGCCUGCCCGGUGCCGGAAGGUUAAUUGAUGGGGUUAGCGGUAACGCGAAGCUCUUGAUCGAAGCCCCGGUAAACGGCGGCCGUAACUAUAACGGUCCUAAGGUAGCGAAAUUCCUUGUCGGGUAAGUUCCGACCUGCACGAAUGGCGUAAUGAUGGCCAGGCUGUCUCCACCCGAGACUCAGUGAAAUUGAACUCGCUGUGAAGAUGCAGUGUACCCGCGGCAAGACGGAAAGACCCCGUGAACCUUUACUAUAGCUUGACACUGAACAUUGAGCCUUGAUGUGUAGGAUAGGUGGGAGGCUUUGAAGUGUGGACGCCAGUCUGCAUGGAGCCGACCUUGAAAUACCACCCUUUAAUGUUUGAUGUUCUAACGUUGGCCCCUAAUCGGGGUUGCGGACAGUGUCUGGUGGGUAGUUUGACUGGGGCGGUCUCCUCCUAAAGAGUAACGGAGGAGCACGAAGGUUGGCUAAUCCUGGUCGGACAUCAGGAGGUUAGUGCAAUGGCAUAAGCCAGCUUGACUGCGAGCGUGACGGCGCGAGCAGGUGCGAAAGCAGGUCAUAGUGAUCCGGUGGUUCUGAAUGGAAGGGCCAUCGCUCAACGGAUAAAAGGUACUCCGGGGAUAACAGGCUGAUACCGCCCAAGAGUUCAUAUCGACGGCGGUGUUUGGCACCUCGAUGUCGGCUCAUCACAUCCUGGGGCUGAAGUAGGUCCCAAGGGUAUGGCUGUUCGCCAUUUAAAGUGGUACGCGAGCUGGGUUUAGAACGUCGUGAGACAGUUCGGUCCCUAUCUGCCGUGGGCGCUGGAGAACUGAGGGGGGCUGCUCCUAGUACGAGAGGACCGGAGUGGACGCAUCACUGGUGUUCGGGUUGUCAUGCCAAUGGCACUGCCCGGUAGCUAAAUGCGGAAGAGAUAAGUGCUGAAAGCAUCUAAGCACGAAACUUGCCCCGAGAUGAGUUCUCCCUGACUCCCUGAGAGUCCUGAAGGAACGUUGAAGACGACGACGUUGAUAGGCCGGGUGUGUAAGCGCAGCGAUGCGUUGAGCUAACCGGUACUAAUGAACCGUGAGGCUUAACCUUACAACGCCGAAG
rnacentral:rRNA from 1 species